rnacentral:ncRNA from 16 species
GGGGAUGAUGAGUUUGCCGAGUGCUGAGCUAGUGAUGAAUAAACAGUCGCCUGAC